rnacentral:rRNA from 1 species
GACGAACGCUGGCGGCGUGCCUAAUACAUGCAAGUCGAGCGGACAGAAGGGAGCUUGCUCCCGGAAGUUAGCGGCGGACGGGUGAGUAACACGUGGGCAACCUACCCUGUAGAUCGGGAUAACAUCGAGAAAUCGGUGCUAAUACCGGAUAACCAUUUGAAGUGCAUGCUUCGAAUGUAAAAGAUGGCUCCGGCUAUCACUACGGGAUGGGCCCGCGGCGCAUUAGCUAGUUGGUAAGGUAAUGGCUUACCAAGGCAACGAUGCGUAGCCGACCUGAGAGGGUGAUCGGCCACACUGGGACUGAGACACGGCCCAGACUCCUACGGGAGGCAGCAGUAGGGAAUCUUCCGCAAUGGACGAAAGUCUGACGGAGCAACGCCGCGUGAGUGAUGAAGGUUUUCGGAUCGUAAAGCUCUGUUGUUAGGGAAGAACAAGUGCCGUUUGAAUAAGGCGGCACCUUGACGGUACCUAACCAGAGAGCCACGGCUAACUACGUGCCAGCCGCCGCAGUAAGAC